GAUUUCGAUAACGUUUUUUUGGCAUCCGUUUCAAGCUAUGCGACUUCUCGAACAUAAUUAUGUAUGUGGUUGAGACUCAAUUUGUGGGUGUGUGCUGCUGCUGGGUUUAUGUUUUGUUUCUUCUAGAUAAGGAGUGCUCCCCCAAGGGAUUUUGGCUUCAGCAUUGGCAUCGUAGAAGGUUUUCGUUCCAGUAUCAAAUUUUUCCCUUCUCAAGUUUCAAUCAAACUCAAUGGGAGUUGAAGCCUAAUAAGAGCUUUUCAGUGUUUCCGUCACUCCUUCGAGAUUUCAGUAUCUUUCUUUUUCUACAUCACACUUGCUCCUUUGUCUCGGCGGCUGUCUUAAGUAACAAAGAUUCUGGAGCUUAUAAUGUCAAGGCACUUGAGCAAGAGAUUAAAGCAAAAUCUAGCGCCUGAAAACAGAUGCUGCAAGAAUAUUGGAUGAUGCAUUAGAAGACAAAUGUGGUGCCCUUGAAAGCAAGGUGGUGAUUGGCGCAAGAAAGAAGCUGAAUGAAAGAAGAGAGAAUCUGCAUUGCAUCUUGAAGUUAAGAACCUCACAGAGGUAUCCUUUAUAUUUUCUGUGAAGGAUGCCUGACAUUUGAUUGUAGAAAAUCUAUAGUUUUCCAAAAUUAGAACUAGAUUCAACUCUGGUGAUCUACUCCCUUCUUCGUUUCAAUGAUGAAUAUGAUGAUGUCCUAGCUGCAUCCUACCUUUCGGUGAGUAACUCUACUAAUGUUCUAUCUGUUUCCUUUAUUCGUGGUUGCCUUCGGCAUUAUCUAUUGUCCUCUCCUUUCUGUUUUUUUUUUGUAUUGUUUCCUAUUCCCACAUAGUUGAUUUUUUUUCAAAUUUGUUGAUGAAUGGGUUUUGGAUUCUCUGAAUCAGGGUGGUUUGAGGGUCCAAGAUUUAAUCUUCAAUUGUUUCAUCAACAUUGUGAAAUUGUUUUAUCCUUUGACAUCAAUUCUUUUUAUUCCCUGUUGAACCUUGCCUUCUGUUUGUCUUCUCACUGGAGUAGAUGGGUAGGAUCAGCGGAGGAGUGUAACGGAACCUUCUCAUAAUGGAAGAUGAUGCAGCAAAAGAGAGAACUGUAGAAAGUAUAGUUUGACCUGCAAGUUUGAUGUUUGGUUUGAUUUAAGUUGUCACUUUGAAGUUAGAUCUGACUCUGAGUGAUCUGAAAAUACCAUUCAGAAUAGAACUGUUAGACAUACAAAGUGGUUCCCCCCACCUUAUCACCAAGAUCUCAUUAUCAUCAGGAGCUUCAUUCUGCCUUGGUACCAAGAGAAUCAAGACAUCUUUCUUAGAGCACAAUAGUAUUUUGUAGUUCAAACACUGUAUUAUCACUAGCAUUAUGUGAAAUUUCCGUAGUACUAUAAUGUCAUUAAGAUAACAUGAUUCUUUACCAACUAAUUUCUUAGUAGAAUAAUUAUGACUCAUGAGCCAUUCCUUCAUUCCUUCAUCUGUUUCUUCUCUUCUAUGGCCUGAGAAAUAAUCAAGGGAUUGCUUGGAAAAGAACGGCAAAUUGAUUUGAUUCUUAUUUUGCUGCUAUACUUCAUUAGACUCACCCCAUAAACUCAACAACAACUCACGUAGGAACCAUGCAAAACUUAUAGAAAGGUAAGUGUAUGCAAUAUGCUUAUUGAAUCUGAUAACUUUCUAAAGCAUGACUUAGGACUUACCUUUGGCAGAUUUUUCUUUUAUUUUUCUUCCAAUUUGUUUCUUCCCACUUAUUUCUUUUCCAUGUUUGUGAUUGAAGAAAAGGGCAAUUUGAGGCUUUUGUGCAUGCAUGGAAGUGCCAGAUUUAUUUAAUUGGUUGUUUUUAUGAAGAAAUUAAAGGUCAUCGAAAGAGUGCAGAGGAACAGCCAUACACGGGUUGUGCUUCUCUCAAGUCUUUUCCUUUAAUUUUCUUUGGAUAUGCUUAUCUCAUUGGGUUAAUUUUCAUUAGUGAUCUAUCAAAUUGGUUCGUACUUUUUGUUUGUUCUCACUUCAGGAGUUCUUUAUUUUCCAACCUUCUUGCUUGGACAUGUAUAUUGGAUCUGCAAAUAAUUUUUGAAAAUAUCUUACACAGGUAAUUUCAUGACAUGUUUUAUGUUUACAGUUUAAUGCCAACAGGCAUCUAAUCUUUUUUGGUUGUUACAUUUUCCAACAUUAUAAUUAAUUUAUUUUUCUUUUUGUUUGUUUGAUGGUAUUUAAAAUUUAUGGCUGGGAGUUAUAAGCGAGGAAUCGGUAGCAGGAACAAUUGUUAAAAGAGCAUACCCGCAUAGCAUCACUGAUGACUAAAAAGCAGGUCUUGGAAGAGAAACAUUGCAUCCGGAUGAUCAUGUGAGAAAACUAUUGAGGAUCUUAUUGGGAGUGGAAAACUGAUUCCAUGCCAUGCCUUUUUUUAUAUUUUUACAUUUAAGGAUCUAUCUAUAAUAUAUAAAGGAGAAGUUUUUCAGUCUGGAGGCAACUUCGUUAUUCAAUAAUUUAUUGAACACUAUUCUCAAAUUAAGUAUGGAUAUUUGUGUAAAGUGUUGUUUAUUUCUCUUAGGUUCAAUCACGGUUGUUCAUUUCAUCUUCAUUGUAAAAGUAAUCACGGUUUAUUCC